rnacentral:tRNA from 1 species
GGAGAGAUGGCCGAGUGGUCGAAGGCGCUUGACUCGAAAUCAAGUGUACCCCCCGGGUACCUAGGGUUCGAAUCCCUAUCUCUCCG